rnacentral:rRNA from 1 species
UAAGGUCACGGCGAGACGAGCCGUUUAUCAUAACGAUAGGUGUCAAGUGGAAGUGCAGUGAUGUAUGCAGCUGAGGCAUCCUAACAGACCGAGAGAUUUGAAC